rnacentral:rRNA from 1 species
CCCUUAGAUGUUCUGGGCCGCACGCGCGCUACACUGAUUCAUGCAACAAGUUUUGUCCUUGGCUGAUAGGCCUGGGUAAUCUUUGAACGUGAAUCGUGAUGGGGAUAGAUGAUUGCAAUUAUUCAUCUUCAACGAGGAAUUCCUAGUAAACGCAAGUCAUCAGCUUGCAUUGAUUACGUCCCUGCCCUUUGUACACACCGCCCGUCGCACCUACCGAUUGAAUGGUCCGGUGAAAUCUCGGGACGGCGGCUUGGUCGCUUGCGUCCGACUGCUGAAACUUGAUUAAACCAUAUCAUUUAGAGGAAGGUGAANUCGUANCA